rnacentral:rRNA from 1 species
AACGAACGCUGGCGGCAUGCCUAACACAUGCAAGUCGAACGAGACCUUCGGGUCUAGUGGCGCACGGGUUCGUAACGCGUGGGAACCUGCCCUUAGGUUCGGAAUAACUCCCCGAAAGGGGUGCUAAUACCGGAUAAUGUCUUCGGACCAAAGAUUUAUCGCCUUUGGAUGGGCCCGCGUUGGAUUAGCUAGUUGGUAGGGUAAAAGCCUACCAAGGCGACGAUCCAUAGCUGGUCUGAGAGGAUGAUCAGCCACACUGGGACUGAGACACGGCCCAGACUCCUACGGGAGGCAGCAGUGGGGAAUAUUGGACAAUGGGCGAAAGACUGAGCCAGCAAUGCCGCGUGAGUGAUGAAGGCCUUAGGGUUGUAAAGCUCUUUUACACGGGAUGAUAAUGACAGUACCGGGAGAAUAAGCCCCGGCUAACUACGUG